GCGGUGUUUUAAAUAGCCGCAUUAUUUUAGCCAGGCAGUGCCCCUCUAAAUAGAUGGUUUCAGCGAGUUCCCAAACUGGAGACAAGGAUAUUAUUUUACACUCGAGAAUUGUCCUGUUGAACUCGUUAAAUUUGCAGUUCACAAGUUCAGGAAGGCGGGCGCUUGGAUGCGAUCACUGAAAGGGAAGCUUUGCGUGACACCAUUUGGAGAAGAGUCGGGAACGGGGCUUAUUCCAACUAAACCUUUCUGCUGAGCACACCUCUCACAGAGCUCUGCUUCCCUUUCACGACAGUUCAUUUAAUGAACGACAUCAGAAAUUAUUUUAAUGUAACUUUGAGACUUCCAUGGGCUGUGCUUAGUAUUGCUCAAAAUUAAUCCUACUAUAACAUAGUAAAUGUGAUUAACUGCUGCUGCUGAAUUUGCCUUUGGAUCAGCCGCUGUAGGAAUAGCCUUUUGUGCAUUGCAAGGUGGCAACUUUUGUUAACCAUUAUACAUUUCAGGGAGCAGCUCUCAAGGUGAACUCUACAGUGAUAAUUUAAUAGUGCAAAAUGCAAUGCCUGAGAUGAGCAAAUAGCCCUUACUCUGCAUCUCUGCAGAAACCACAUUACAACUCUGACAAGUUAAAUCUGAACAUCUGACCUUCUGAAAACAACACUUGAGAUAAAUAACAGAUUCUGUAAAUGAUAUAGCACAUGAAUAUAAAUAUCCAAGGGUUAAACAAUAAGUCAGACAUUACUGCUUCAGACUGGAGAUAUUCAAACUCCUAUCAAUCUGAAACCAGGAUAUUAAUGUUUGAGACCAGAAUAUGCAAGAAGAUUAGAUGAAUGUGAAGAAAAACCAUUUUAUAUACAGAGAGGUCUUCCAAUGUUCUUUCAUCUGUUUGCCUUUGUUGGUUUGUUUUUUUUUUUUUUUUUGCUAUACAUCUCCCAUGUUUCCAACUGAUUUACUUAACUACAAAACACUACAGGCUAAGUUAAUGUGCAUCAGUGUAUACACAGAUGGCUUUAAAAUGCUAGGAUACUGCCUGACUUGUCUUCCACGAUAUUGUCUCCCAUCAGGAGUGCAGCCAUUACUGGCUUUGUGAAAAUGUAGGUAUAAAAUGCAGAGAGAACACUGAGAAGUUACCUGUCUGUUUGUAUCCCUGAUGGAUUCCAUUGGUGAGCCAAAUCUUCAGGAGGUUGACUGUAGAACUGCAGGACACUUGAGGGGAAAGAUCUGAGUUGAAAGUUUACCUUUCUUGAAAUGUAGGAUCAAAGAUCUGAAACUACAUCUAUUUUUGACAGCUGUGCUCAACAUGGUGAAAUGGCUAAAGUCAAUGGAAACUUGAUGUUAAUUUCAACAGGACCAGUGUUUUAUCUGCUAUGUAAAUAAAGGAAGUCCUUCACACGUAGUGGGAUUAAACUGUCUGCAAACACCAAACACUUUUUGUAUGUAUAAUUAGAUUUCACAUUUUCCAUUAGAAGAGGUUGGCUGAGACAGUUAAAAAUCUCUCAGAAGCAUAACUCAAGGUUCAAGAUUCUUGAAAAACUACUCCACAAAGAUCAAAAGCCGACAGACACAGGCAGUUUGUCCAAAGGACUUCUAAAGUGUGGAAUACUAAGCAGCCCCAUUUUCAAAAGCAGGAGCCUAAAGUCAAGCUUGAUGUUAUGAUUUAACCUGUUUCAUCCUUCAGCAAAGUGUUCAGGACCUUUGUCUUCAGUGGAGAUUUUUCCAUUACAGAAAUGAUCUAGGAAGAAAUGCCAAGAUUCUGGAAAUGCCUAAUAAUAACUAUUAGAGCUGUAACUUUUACUUUAGUGAAACUUUAUUCCUAUCCACCAACGAUUAAUGCAUUUCUUUAUUGUGCAUAUCUGUGAUGUGAAAGAACUUAACGAUUUUCACACACACUCAAAAACUGAGCAUGUAUUGAACUCUUUUGUGAUAACAGAGAAAAAGUGCAAAGCUGGUGAAAAAGUAAGGGCUGCUCCUUUUUCCAAUACAUGAAUAUAAAUUUUGAUCACAUGUAUAAGCCUUAGAAAAAAGCUAAGGCUUUGCCUGGGAAACUGAGAACACGGAGAGGGAAAACUUUGUGAAAAAUUCUAUCAAUUAAGUCCUUUUGAAGUUAGUCUUUAGUCUUGAACUACAAAAAUACCCAAAGGGCUUUAGUCUGCUUGCUUAGGAUACACCUUUUCUUUAAAUGUGCUGUACCUUCUGAGAAUGAAAUUAGUUUUCAAUUACAAACACACCAUUGCCCUAAUGGCUUAUAUUUGGAUUUCUUUAGCAGUGAGAAAAUCUCUGGAUACAUUGACUGGCUCUGCAGCAGAGAGAUGUCAGGUCAUGGUCCUUGUAGCUUUCUGAAGCAGACAACAGUGAACAAUCAGCUUUAUUUUUUCUGUAUAAUCAAUCAUAUUUCCAAGAUUUUCUUGUAUUAGUCACGAUAUCAGGAUAAAAAUGUAUUUUUAAAGGUCCAGAAAACUAACAUUAUUUCAAAUGAAAGGUUUUACUCUUCAUGGUUUUAUUUAUUGUUGUUCAAAAUACAACAGAAAGCCCCUGAUUUCUGACUCGGAAAAUGUACAAUUCACACUGGCAAAAGACCCAGGGAAAGAGGAAAAGCAAUCCUUGUGCAGCCCAUGCCCUCAGUCACAGUGAGUACUGUUGUGUGGUAUGCGAGUAUUCUCAGCUUUCAAUGGCGCUGAGAUUAGUUAAUAAUUCCUAGGGUCUGUCAUAGUUCAGGCACAAAAUGGUGUUUAGAAGAUGUGAUUGAUGAUCACUGGAACAGCCAACCAGUAGUCCUUUGGAAACCAGGAAGAGGAGCUGAGAUCCCAGGGGAAUAGUCUAGUUGUAUGGGCCUCUAGGUAUGAACUAGGAAUUUAGAAGGGUUCAAGAAAUCUGCCUUAGAUUAAUUAAAUACUUUAAAUUACUCUGAAAAAAUAUGGCUGAAAAUGGUAAUUGGGGAACAUAAGAAAUUAAUUAAACCCAAUGCAUUUGUGCAUCACAAGAAAUGUAAUGACACAUUUAACAAAUUAAAGGAAUUUUAAGAUUUUAAAAUGCUGAGAUUUUCCAAAUGCUGUCAGGUAACAUACUGGUAGACAUAAUUUCCACAUGCUUUUAAGAUUGACUUGUACAACAAAUUUGCAAAAGUCUGUUUCAUGUGCAGUGGGAGCAUCAACAUAAACAGAAGGAAUACCUUUCUUUUAUUUCCUCAUUCCUAACAGAAAAUUGCAUUGAUACAUAAAAAGCAAGUAUAACUAUUUACUUUUACUAUUUUGUCUCUAGCAGAUGGGCUUCUGCUUGUGUUUUUGUAUUUUGUUUAAUCAUUUCCAGUUCAUGGUUUACUGGCAUAGCACUCCUCAGUACAGCACCAAAUGCUUUAUUAUGUCCUCUUCUGCUUGAUCCCCCCUAACCCUCUGCCUUUUGCCACACAGACCCUGAGCUUUGUUAUUUUUCCAUUCUUUUCUGGCAAGAGCAUAUCAUUUUCCUUUCACAAACUAGAGGAAAGUUACACAGUUUCUAAGAACACUGGAAAUUACUCUUCUCUGUCUCACUAUUUACACUUUAAUGGAAGAGCUACUAUCACAUACAGAAUUAUCACAAAGUUUGGGUAUAUACCAUUUCUGUGCUGUGUGUCACUCAAAUACACAUCACCCUGUAAUUACGAUCCCUGGUGUUCACUCACUGGAAGUGAGCCCCUUUUCCAAUUUUUGUUCUAAGAUUGUCAGACUUUCAUUCUGUAAAUACCCUUACACCUUCCAAAGUGCUCAGGCAGGGCUCACAUUUAAAGAAUUAUCACUCGCCUCUUCCAGUGCCAGAACCUGUUUCCCUGCUUGCUGUGAUGCUGACUGCUACAGGAGUCCAGCAGUUUCCUCAGCUCAGGAGUUCCUUUGAGUAUUUUGAAAACUUUCAGAAGCAAAUUAGUGUACUUAUCAGCUAUAUGGUCUCAAAUCAGAUGGCUGAAGUGACCACAGAGCACAGACUGUGUGAUAAUUGUGUCAUUCACCAAGAGUGGUGAAAAAAGAUUUUCCUGGUUUACUCAUACUAAUACCAACUGAUUUUUUUUCUUUUUUUUUCAUUGCCAAACAGUUGAGGGAGGGGAUUGUCCCACUCUGCUCUGUGCUGGUGCAGCCUCAGCUCAGGCACUGUGUGCACUUUUGGGCACCACAAUACAAGGAAUAUAUUAAAUUGUUAGAGAGCAUCCAAAGAAGGGCAACAGAGAUGGGGAACAGUCUAGAGGGGAAUAGGGAACCUAUUGCUCAUAGCAACCUACUGCUUCAUCAUGAGGGGAAGAGGAGGGACAUGUGCUGAUCUCCUCUCUGGUGAUCAGCCAUAGAACCCAAGGGAAUGGCAUGAACGAUUAGACAGAGGGUGUCUGGGCACUGGAACAGGCUCCCCAGGGAAGUGGUCACAGCACCAGCCUGACAGAGUGCAAGACAAGUUGGACAACACUCUCAGGCACAUGGUGUGACUCUUGGGGCUGUCCUGUGCAGGGCCCAGAGUUGAACUUAAUGAUUCUCCUGGGGCCUUUCUGACUCAGGAUAGUCUAUGAUUCUCUGAUUACUUCAAUAAUAAAGGCAGAGGGGAAGCAAGCCUAAAAACAUAAAACAUUGCAGUUUUGUUGCUCCUUGGUGCUGAAAGUCCCAGCUGGUGAUGAGCAAAGUGGUCUGCAGGCUGGCACUGGCUCUCAUGCAUGUAGCAAGGGACAAUGUGGGUCAACCAACCUUAGGACCUAGGGAACUGAUUCUGUGACUUUUAAAUCUAUGUAUGAUCUUCUGUCACUGUAGCUAUGUAAUAAUUAUUUUCUUAUUUCUUGUAACAUCUGUUGAUCUAAGAAACAUUAGAGCUGGACUCAAAGGUUUAGAAAUGCUGUAACAUUGACAUUUUGAACUAUUGGGUUUUUUUUUUCUGUAACACUUUUGCAGUAUACUUGUAACACUGUAACAUUAUUUUACAUUCUAUGGCAGAAAUUCAAGAAUUAACAUGAAGAGAGCUAUCUUAGGCAAGUCCACUCUUUUCCAGAAAUAAACAGAGGAAAAGAUGAGCACAGAGGUUGUUCUAUAAACCAUUUACAAUUGUUUACAACAUCAGCAUUGGGUUUCAAGAUUAGGUAUGUGAUCUUUAAAGACAGUACUUUACAUCACAGCAUUAGAAGUAGAAGGGUGUCAGAAGUCAGACAAGUUCCACAGGGCAGAGCAAAAAAAAUAUGAGUUCUUCAGAAUGGGGAACAAUGACAUAGAAAAAAAUUGAUCUAUUUUGGGAAAGAAAAAGGGAACAUCUUGAAACAGUACUUGGGUCAGAACUCCUACAGAAAUGCUAUAUACCAUUUGUCCCUAGGGGAGUAAACCCAGAGCUGGAUUCACAACAGCUAUUGUUCCAGACCUUGAAAGCAAGAUGAGAAUAAGGCAAGGUGGCUUGUCUGAGUAAAACUUUAAAUGAUAGACAUCUUCACCGUGAUGAGGAAGGGUAGAUGUAGUUGAGUGCACAGCUGACUACUUGCCACCAUCUACCAUGACACCUUGUUUUAGUAAUGAUAGACAUAUGCUUAGAGAGAAAGCACAGCUCUAGCACAUGUACCUGGAUGAAGAUGUAAAACACUGACAUUCAGCCUUCUGUGAUCUGAUUCAUUGACCUCCACAGCAGUGACUGCAGAGCAGAGGUUAAUGCUAAAAUAUAGGCUAGCUGGAGCAGUUAUUGUUUAAUUUAAGCAAAAGGAAGGCUGCAGUGCUAUGUCUCUAUAAAGCUAUUUGAGCAUGUCUGCAUCAGAUUACAAAAUUAACUGCAUUCAAUAAUUUUCUAAUCUUUGUUUACUGUUGUGGAGAAAGGGUUUAUGAGAUUCAGUUUGUUGGCUUUUACAAAUACAGUCUGACAAGGUGACUUACCUUCUGAAGAAGCUCUUUAUUCUCAUUUCUUUUUAGGUAACUAGAGAAGAAAAGCUGUCCAGAAACUGUCAUAAAAAAGUACAUACUUCUGAGCACCUAAUUAGAAGUUUUCUUUGCUACUUUGAACAGGCUUUGGCUCUGUUUUGUACAGUUUCAUAUUCCUUCAUUAUCUUCCCUUAGAAUGCCUCUGGCUGCAUCCCUAAUGCUUCCAGGCUCUGGAGAAAGACUCAGCUUUUGUCCAGAGGAUCCAUGUUCCCCAAGGAACAUGACUUCCACCGUUCUGGUCAGAACACCUCCUUGUGCCCUGCAGUGAUUUGAGGCUGCCAGCACAUAUUCCAUACCCCCUCCAUGCGGUGUGCUUUCAUAGAGUCACAGAUAGCACUUCUCUGGAAAAGCAUGGCAGCACAGGCACAUAUUGGGACCAAUGAGGUUUUACCAACAUCACCAGCAGAGUGCCCUUUCACACAAUAGAGAAAUAAAUUUGGAGUAACAGCCUGCCUAUCCCUGUGUCACCCCAUGGUGACAACCAAAGUAAUACAAGUGGUUUGUAGCAGAGCAGCACCAGUGCUGAUCCUUUGGCUUGUUCAGGAAACACUCCUUUCCACACACAUCUGAGAACUUGAUCUAACACCCCUCAGCCCAGCGCUGAAUCUGGCUUGCAAACUAUGUCUCUUGUACAGUAGAUUUCUCUGGGACAGAACGCUGGCAUGGGAGUCUUCUUUUGAGGAACUGUCCCAGGCAGAAAGGAGAAGGCUUGGCACCAUCUUCCUGCUAAGAAUAGCUGCUUAUUUCACAAACAUCCUUGUAUGUCAGCUGGGCAAUUGAUAUCAGGUCUGUCAGGGAUACUCUCCAUAGCAAAGGUUACUAGAACAAGGUACUUGCUGUCAGAUGGAUUUUAUUUCUUCUGGAGACUCCACAUCCCUGAAGUGCUUUUGCAAUGGGGAAUUUACCAUUGGAACCUCUGCAGAGGGGCCUCUUGACACUGUUAAGACUCUCACAAUGCCUUCAGGAUUUGGCAUUCUAAGUCCAGCAGGAAACCAGACAUUUCAAGUAUUUUGGGGACCUGAGAACUUGUCCUUUCCAGUGCUUUUAGUGACUUUGAGCUGACUGUGAGCUAUUUUGACCAGGAGUAUUGUUUUCUGAGGCCUGGCUGCAAGAGCUUCUUCUUUACAAGGAGCUAUUGUGAGGGAGGAAAGCAAAGGCAUUGUGUCCUCGAUGGUAAUAAUGAACUAAGUCUCUUCCUCAUUAUCCACAGAUGGAAAGAGAACUAUCUUGUUCUGUGUGUUUUGACUUUUUAAAGGCCUGAUUGGUCAGAAAGAUCACUAAUAUGAAGUGGGUCCAAUUCCAGUGUGAAGGAGAAGUAUGUUGAAUGCCCAGUUGCUGCCCAUGUCCAGCAGCUGCAGUGUCCUAUGCCAGCAGGGCCAUUUGCAGGAUGAUCAAUCUUCCAUGCAGCCAGAACUGUGUGGUAAUGAUGCUGCUUUCUGGGUGUGCCACAGGGACAGGACCUCACACCAGUAACCUCAUACUGACAGAAGGCAGCAGCAAUCCCACAGUCAUGAUUUAACACGUGCUGGAUAUAUGCAGUUCAGGAAACCAAUCUAUUUUUUUUUUAACAGUGUUUCUUUUAAGUGGAAUUAUGAUGCUGUAAAUGUAUUGGUUUGAAAACAUGUAGUGUUUACCUGAGAGGCUGCAGUAUGCUAAGCCCUGCAUAAUGGAUGAGGAAAAGCUUUCCAUUUCUCUCUAUCUGAAGUAGAUGCGCUCUACAGACCAGGCAUAAAAGAUACAGGAACAAUGUCACGCUGGAAGUAUUUUGUUUUUUUCUUUACUAUCUCCAAUAUACACAACCAUAUAUAUACAUGAACCCACGCAAUAAACAGCUGUCCAGAGCACACUUGCUUCCUGACAAUCUCAUCUAAGCUUUCUUUACUAAUCUGCAGUUCUUCCCAAUGAUUUCUGACGUAUCUAGUGCAAAUUAUUUAAAACUUAUUCUGUAUAGAACUAUUAUUGUUUUUACUAAUGUAUUCAUAACUAGAUUGUUGAGACCUGCUUGGAAUGGACACGGUGCUCAGGUUUAGAAGUUAUGGCAUGCUUAUGUCUUAGUAGAUUCUAUGAAUUAAUGCUAUGAAGUCAGAUUUAGCAGUGUCAAUGAUUUUGCCCUUUGACUCCUCAUAUUAAACUCUACCUGAAAUACCUACCCUUCCUUGUAGGAUGAUGUAGACAUUCCCUACUCAGCUUGUAAACAUUCCAACAUUUCUGUUUCUUUUUUCUUAGCAAUAUAGAUCCUGUUGUCCCAUUGUUACAAGGUUUCUGACUCCUUGACUCUCUUGCCUGAAAAUACAAUCAAACGAGGUUUACAAAACAACAGGACCAUAUUUCUGGUUUCCACAGAGCAGCCAGUGAGGAAGUAUGGAACAGCAUCUUUUGUUGAAAUGACACCCUGGACACAUGCCAGAUUUUUAAGGAGUUACAUUUGAGGAUUUGCUAUCCAAAUUUUGAGACAUUCUAGAAGACCAUUUCCCUGUGGUAUUAGUGUGAUGAUUAUUACAUCAUUCAAUUAGAAAAUAAUGGUGUAAGAACAAAAAUCUGUUCCCUUUUCAGUUUCCAAGGUCUUUAAAAAGAAAAAAAGAGAUUUUAAGUGCUAGCAGCAUAACUUUGCUGAACUCAGCAUUUCACUUCAAAGGUAUUAGUUUGUCUCUCUUCAAAGGUUCCAGUUUGCCUCUGUAGUUUUACGUGAAAAUGUUAUAUUACAGCUUCUUCCUGAAAGGUAAAGAUAUCAAAAAGCUCCUGUAUAGUUUUUAUGCUAUUGCAACUAUAUACGGCAAUAGCUGUUAUUGAUAUUGAUAUAAGAAAUUAAUAAAUAAAAUGAAAUCAUAAAUAAAAAGCAAAACUGAACUGUUUCCAUAAAUUAAAUAUGCAUUACCAGGGAUUUAAGUAAUACAGGAUUUCAUUGCUUCUUGAAUCUUACAGUAUAUUGAAAAUUGCUAAUGGUUCCCCCUUACUGAAAACUGCCAGCUUUAUUAAAAUAAAUAAUUGUUUUUGUUUAAUCUUGAAGAAAGAACAAUUUAAAUAAUACAAGUAUCUGCAAACAGUGAAGGCCAUCAGUAAAGUAUUGGACAAGGUGGCACACGGGAAUUAAAAGUCCUGUACCAGGAGCAGACACAACUGCAGGUAGGGGAAUGAGGAGGCUCAACAGCGAUCAGGGGAAUUGGGGGGCAGCACCUCCCUGAGUUUACACCUCAGUGACAUGCAGCUGGAGCAAGGAAAGAGCCUACUUAUCUUGUUCCUGCAGUUUGAGGAAGAGGCAUUUGGCAUGCUUAUUUUUCUUCAUAAAAGAAUAUGUUUGCACUAAGAAUAUAUCUUACUUCUAGCAGCAAACUGUCCUUCAAACAAAACAGUUCUGCAAGGUCUGAAAAUUUGACUCACUGUUUAAGCAACAGUGUGAAAAAACCCAAACAACUGGGUUUUCUGUCUUGCCUUAUGUAGUUGAACAUAAAAGUCUAAGGGUUUGUAUCACAGCUGGCCUGGGGUGCAGUCCUUAAGCUCAGAGGAGGCCUUAACAUACCCUCCCCUGCAACAGACUAUGUUUGUAUUUAAUACGUGUCAUUCUGAGAACAAUCUUGUAAUGGAAGAAAACCAGCACUAUUUGUUCACCCAGCAGAAUAUGAGUACUUUAAUCUCUGAUGAAAAAUUAAUGUGACCAAUAAAUAGUAAGCACAUACCAAAUUUUUCUUUCACCUUUCAUUUGUCUUGUACUACUUCAGCCUGUAUCAGCUCCCUUUACCAGCUCAGCAAGAGAAGCAAAAUAAAUGAAAUAUAAGUAAUGGAUCAAAGACAAGACAUAAUCCUUAUCUAUUAGAACCAAAGAAAAGAAGCUGUUAGACAUUUCCACAAGCCUAUGGAUUCUGCUGUAUAUGAGGGAUUAAUGAGCUCUCACCUGCCACAGAGGUUAAAGGGAUUCAGUUGGCCAUGGAAUCUGGUAGGCACAAUGCAUUAUAGAAUCCCCUUCAGGAGGUUGAUUUCUAAAAUUCACAUUAAAUCAGUUUCUUUUGCUCUUUUGAUUCUAUGUAACCAUUCUGUAACCUUGCUCCUCAUGGGUUUAGCACCUUUUACUUUCAGGUUAAAUUUACUUUCUAAGUUUGAGCACUUUUGGUAUUAUGCAAGUGUUGUCCCUUAGCCUAUCAUCUUUUCCUUCUUGAAGUAUUUUUAAAGAGCAGCAGGUUCCCUCCAUCGAGCCCUUGUUUUGCUGGAUGAAACAAACCACACUCUCCUAAUCUUCCCUUUGGCAGCCCUUCUUUGCAUCUGUUUUAGUCUGAAUAUAUCUUUCUCUAAUAGCACUGACCAAAACUAUAAUUAUAGUCAACUGUGGCUGCCUGCAGCUUGUGCAAUAGAAUCAGUAUCUUCAUUUCACUGCUGGAAUGGACACUGACAGGAAGUAUCUUAACGUGGUCACAUUUGGACACUUAAAACUUUUAUUUUCCUUCCUUUGUUAAUGAAAGCUCCUUCAAUUAACAUCUCCCUCUGCACAGAUAAUUAGAAGCUAAGAGGUGACCUAAGAGGGCAUCUAAGAAAACCUAAGAGUCUUUUCUCUUUCUGACUUUGCAUAAAAGGAGAUUAUUUUAUGCCUAUUCCUUUUCAUAUCCUAGUCUGCACUCUUUCUUUCUGCCUUUCAAAAUCAAAGGCAUUUUGUCACUUUUGCAAAUUUGGUAUUUUCCCUUUCUCAACUAAAGCCUAAACUCAUCACAGAACCAUAGAAAGGCUUGGGUUAGAAGAGACCUUAAAGAUCAUCUUUAAGAUCAUCCCUAUUGCUGUGGGCAGGGACACCAAUAGUUCCUGAUUUUAUUUCCAGGAUACAGGCACAUUUAAAAAUGGUAACACUCAUCUGGUCGGACAAACCUUGCAGUCGUCUCUGAAUGCACAAGUUACCUAGAAUGCUUAUCUACUUACGCUCUUCUUGUGAUUAUUCUAAAUUCAAAACUCACACUCAUGUAAUUUUUUCAGGUUUGCUCACGUUUUCCUGUCUGGGGAAUUCUCUGGUGCAGUGAUACAGUUAUUUUAGCAGCUGUGACUGCUGAAGCGAUUUCAGUUUUUUAACUGAAUAGCCCCACAGCAUUCCCAGGGAUACUUUUUCAAAGCAGGAUUCCUUUAACAUGAUGUUCUGCAGUAGAGUAUUCCUCUUCCCAUUGUUAACAUUUUUAUUCUUCAGAGGCACUUUUUUCAUGCUAGUCUCUUCUCAAAUCCAUGCUGCACUGAAAUCAUAUUGUUCAAAAUACUCAUGAUCCCUCCUAGAUUCAUCUGUGAAGAGAAUUAUCAUGUUCUUCAGUCCAUCACAAAGAUCAGUUAAAACCUGCUUGUAUUUGACCCAGUGCUAAUUCCUCUGCUCCCUAUCAAUAAACCCCUUUAAUUUAAAAUUCUGUUUUCUAAUUUAGCGAGAUCUCAUUCUACUACAGCUCUUAUUCCAUUUUCUGCUGUUAAAGUAUCAUGCAGCAUUCCACAGCCAAUGCCUCAAACUUCCUGAAAAUAAUUUUACUUUAUACUGCAGGAACACAUCCAUACUAUUUAGGAUUUCUGAGAGAUUGCUGAUUUUUUUUUGAAGUAACUAAAAACUAAUUACAGCUCAAGUGAAAUACCUAUUGCAUCUCCACAUUUCAAAAUGGUUUACAGAGAAAAAACUCAUUAGUGCCUGAUGACAGUGCACCACUUGCAAUACCGAGGAUCAAGUUAAUUUGAAGGCAUUCAAUACAAGCACCUUGUGAAUUUAUGUACACAGAGGCCUAAAACAGUCUGAAUUAAUUACUCUAUAGCUCAACCAAAUUCCAUAUAUACUUUUAAAAGCCACACUUAAGAAAAAUACUAUUAUAGCAAUAAAGAGGAGGGGAAAAAGAGGUGAAUGAAGAUAUGAGAGCAGCUUCCAGCAAAAACAGUAUCGUCACAAAUCCAGAUUUUACCCUAUAUUUGAAAUAAAAUGCUCAGAACAUGAGGUUUUAUUUAUAUAAAAGAAAUAAAUGGAAACGUUAUCACUUUUGUUCACUAAAGGUACCUGUUUCCUUAGAUAAUACUUACCCCAAAAAACUGUGAUUGGAAAAUUAUGAAUUCAGGAUAAUGCUUUUGAUAUCUCAUGGACGAUGCUGUGGACUGUGCUCUUUGCCAGAGAAGUAUGCAAUGUGUGUUAUUCCAUGAGACUACUUGAUAUUGUUUGUUUUGACUUAUGGUGCAACACGGUUUAACUCUGUACAAAAGUAGCUCUAUCAGAAAAAUGUUGACAUUUCUUUUGUAUAUGCUUAAAUCAUCUCACACCUAUGGGAAAGAUUUGAUCUUAUUACUCUUCUACUCAGUUCUUAAUAACUGGAAUGCAAAAGAGAGACUGGAUUGUGAUCAUAAAUCUCUGCCUUGUGUGGCAAACAUAAGGGAGAGAACGUGGGAUGAAAAGGAUGAAUAUCUGAGUAAAAUGACACAGGUCAAAAUUAAAAAUA